UACGGAGGAUGCAAGCGUUAUCCGGAAUGAUUGGGCGUAAAGCGUCCGCAGGUGGCAAUGUAAGUCUGCUGUUAAAGAGUGAGGCUCAACCUCAUAAGAGCAGUGGAAACUACAUAGCUAGAGUGCGUUCGGGGCAAAGGGAAUUCCUGGUGUAGCGGUGAAAUGCGUAGAGAUCAGGAAGAACACCGAUGGCGAAAGCGCUUUGCUAGGCCGCAACUGACACUGAGGGACGAAAGCUAGGGGAGCGAAUGGG
rnacentral:rRNA from 1 species